rnacentral:rRNA from 1 species
GUAACAAGGUCUCCGUUGGUGAACCAGCGGAGGGAUCAUUACUGAGUUUACGCUCUAUAACCCUUUGUGAACAUACCUAUAACUGUUGCUUCGGCGGGUAGGGUCUCCGUGACCCUCCCGGCCUCCCGCCCCCGGGCGGGUCGGCGCCCGCCGGAGGAUAACCAAACUCUGAUUUAACGACGUUUCUUCUGAGUGGUACAAGCAAAUAAUCAAAACUUUUAACAACGGAUCUCUUGGUUCUGGCAUCGAUGAAGAACGCAGCGAAAUGCGAUAAGUAAUGUGAAUUGCAGAAUUCAGUGAAUCAUCGAAUCUUUGAACGCACAUUGCGCCCGCCAGCAUUCUGGCGGGCAUGCCUGUUCGAGCGUCAUUUCAACCCUCAAGCUCUGCUUGGUGUUGGGGCCCUACAGCUGAUGUAGGCCCUCAAAGGUAGUGGCGGACCCUCCCGGAGCCUCCUUUGCGUAGUAACUUUACGUCUCGCACUGGGAUCCGGAGGGACUCUUGCCGUAAAACCCCCAAUUUUCCAAAGGUUGACCUCGGAUCAGGUAGGAAUACCCGCUGAACUUAAGCAUAU